UGGGGAAUAUUGGACAAUGGGGGCAACCCUGAUCCAGCAAUUCUGUGUGCACGAUGAAGGUCUUCGGAUUGUAAAGUGCUUUCAGCAGGGAAGAAAAAAAUGACGGUACCUGCAGAAGAAGCGACGGCUAAAUACGUGCCAGCAGCCGCGGUAAUACGUAUGUCGCGAGCGUUAUCCGGAAUUAUUGGGCAUAAAGGGCAUCUAGGCGGCCGGAUAAGUCUGGGGUGAAAACUUGCGGCUCAACCGCAAGCCUGCCCUGGAAACUAUGCGGCUAGAGUACUGGAGAGGUGGACGGAACUGCACGAGUAGAGGUGAAAUUCGUAGAUAUGUGCAGGAAUGCCGAUGAUGAAGAUAGUUCACUGGACGGCAACUGACGCUGAAGUGC
rnacentral:rRNA from 1 species